rnacentral:rRNA from 1 species
UACGUAGGGGGCGAGCGUUGUCCGGAAUUAUUGGGCGUAAAGAGCGUGUAGGCUGUUCGGUAAGUCUGCCGUGAAAACCUGAGGCUCAACCUCGGGCGUGCGGUGGAUACUGCCGGGCUAGAGGACGGUAGAGGCGAGUGGAAUUCCCGGUGUAGCGGUGAAAUGCGCAGAUAUCGGGAGGAACACCAGUGGCGAAGGCGGCUGCCUGGGGUAUUGCUGACGCUGAGGAACGAAGGCCAGGGGAGCGAACGGG